GUUUCAUAUACGGCUCUGGCUUGGGCGAUCUGUUCCGAGGAGAAUACGAUCCCCAGACGUGCUUUAUUUACAGAUUACUAUACUCAGGGGAAACAUACAAACAGCAUCUUUUAGCAACACAUUUUACUUGUAUUCUUCUGCAGUACCAUCAACAACAGCAGCUGCAGGAUGGCCUCCGCAGCUUACAAAAAAUGUUUCACGUCAAUGUGCAAAUGUGAUAACAUCAUUAUAUCAUAACCACACUUGGAAUGUGAUGGUGACGUAACAAGAGAUAUCUUGCAAACAUUAACUGUACAGGUACACUUUGUAUACAUGCAAGAUACGCUUCGGUUUGUUCAUCUGCUCAGUUGUACGGAAAUCCCAUGUCUGUGCAGAGAAAUUCCACCAAGAAUGGUUCAAGGUGUCGGAUCUUCAGUAAUGAUAAGACAUCGCUUACCGUCUGUCUUGUGAAAUCAAGUUGAAAAAAAAAAACACAUAACGCUGUGUCCCGCGAUUACAAUAUGUAUGAAGUUCAUAGACGAAUCACUGAACACAGUACGUCUCAUCCUACCCGUAGGAGAGAAAACAAAUUCAGCAUUAUCUUCGAUGAACACCUGACAGUUCCGUCUCAGUUCUCUGCCGUGAUAUUCUGGAGGUGACCUUCGAGCUCGUCAGCUGCGACCUGGUCCAUUAUCAUCUUUCCCUUGUACCUUCCCAUGUAGUUGCCGAUCCACGGAUAUUUCGCGGGACACGUGGUGCAUGUCUCCAUGUACCUCAGAUCCGAAUAUCCCUCUCCGGAGAAUGGAAGGACGCACAUGGUCGGAAUGUUACACGCCGGUGUCCUCUUCUCGCAGGACCACGGCUCGAAGUCGCGUAACUCUGUCGACUUCUUGGGAGUCCUCAUCCAGAGCAAGAGCUGCUGCAUCGUGACGAACCAGGCGUUGUCGUAGUUCUUGAUAAUAUGGUCUACGAAACGGUGGAGAGCCUUGGUCUUGACCUUGUCCGUGAACCAGUUCACGUGGAAGUACAGUCCAAGAGGUGCCCUGUUCGUCUUGUAGUGACGGAGGAAGUUUUCAAGCAGGAACUCGAAGACGAUAUCCUCGUCAUCCGCAAAGACGCACUGGUCGGCCAAGAAGCACUGACCACCCGUGCCGUCUUCGCUGUACAGGGCAUUGAGGGGUACUUCCCAGACGCCAGGGUAGGAAUGCGUCGGGCAACCCUGGUUGACGCAGCUGUGAGGUAUGUGGUAGUCCAAUGUGUAGGGCCACAAGGGAACUUUACUGGGCGGCACGGCAAAGGAAGAGUCGUAGGCAAAGGAGAAAUCGUAGAUCAUGUCUAGCAUUCUGUUUCCCCCUGGCUUCAGGUACGGAGCGCGGACGCCGAGGAUGGUGUCUUUGGAGACGUUGCCGAAGCGGGUGAGGAUCUCUCGCAUGCCGGCCAUCUCUUCAGUCCAAUUCUCGUAGGUGGCUUUUGUCCACCAGCUCUCUGGUCCACGGUGGCUGUCAAAGUGAAAAAGUGCCGUGUUCGGUUACUAGGCAUGGGACAAGCAUGUGCGUCUUGAGGGCAACACACAAUGAAGAAAGGACAACACACAACGGAGAAAGGAAACCUGUAAACUAUGGUAACCUGGAGGUGUAAAUGUCGCCGUUGCUGAACUUUAGAACAUGGUGGUAAGGAUCGUGGAUGACAAGAAAGCAGAAUUUCAUUGUUUUGCAGCUCCACUGGUUUAUAGGACGGGCAGAGCUCGGUGUUUCAAAUGGCCAGUAAAUGAAGAUACUUCAGCCAUUCAACGUCCAACCACGGGAAAGCUGACCAGACGUGCGACGUGCUACGACGCCGCGCACGUGGCUGUCGUCUCAUUAGAGCGGGAGAACGUGGAUAUUUGUAUACCAAAAUCGAACAAGAGGAACUUGGAACUUACCACAAGCUGCUUUGACAAUGAGAGACUCUUUCAUCGUUACUUUGACAAAGUUGGAGUUCCUCAAGAAGUUACUGGAGCUUAAAAGCAACGUGUUAAGUUAGACGUUGCCGGAAGAAAUAGCUUAGUUAUAGUAACGAGUUACGUAUAACCAGAAUAAGUAGAUACAGUCGAAUCUCAAGGUACUCAAACAACCAUGCCGAAUCAGGGCGCUGUUGCAUAAUGCAUUAAGUCAACUCUCCAUGUUGCGGUUGCAGUUAGAAUAGCUAUCAGCAACCGCUAAAUAAACAGAAAACCUUUCCCCACUUAAGAUUUCUUAUCAAGUACAGUACACAUUCGAAAACUCCCAUUGGAACUUUCGCAGGUAACCAGCAGCGAUAACCCCUUUCGGUAAGCGACCAGAAUUACUUGUUAUCCCUUCGUUUGGGGGCUUAAUAUCUAAUCAGGCGGCCAGAGCAGGUCGAUCGAGUGGCCCCAGGGUCGGCGGCACAAGUAAUAAGCCCAUUCGAAAAUCGGCUUUCGUUCCGACCGAAAUCCAGACACUGAUUGAACGGCACGGAGUAGCAGACGACAUUUUUUGAGCCAAUUUGGCGACAGAAAAGGUAUCUCUUUUCGUUGAUGGCGGUCGGUGUAAGGACAGCUCGCUUAUUAACGAAUAACGCAUUGAAAGGACGAAAGGAAAUGAAAGCCCGACAGAAAAAGAAAAAAAGAAAAGAAAGAAGAACAUCAGCAGAUGAAAGACAGAAAGUAGAAUGUUGAUCAAAUACAUGUGAUUAUGUCAGCUUCGAUGGAAAGGUAAGACAUAGUAAUUUUUAUGUGCUAUGGCAAGCAGAAAGAUUGGAUUUCGCUGAAUGGAGAGAGAUGACAAGUAACACUGGGUUUUGGUGUGGAUCAAGGCUUUUUUCUGUAACUCCGUUCGACGAUGUGAAGAUUGGGCGAACGCAUACCGCGGUUAUAAAAUUUUCAGGAGCAAUGAUAUGAAGUUGUAUGUGGCGUUUCUGCAUGGUAAUUUUGAAUAUAAAGCAAGUAUGAGUUCCACACAAAGCAACUGAUAUAAAGUUCGAUAUACAGUGAAUCCUCGUUAAUAUGACCCCCGAUAAUCUGACAUAUACGUGCUUUACGACCAUACUCUUGGGGAACAAUGCUGUGAAACCUCUGCAAAUCCCCCCCGUUAAUAAGACGAUUCCGCAUUAUGACCACAAUUUUCGGGAACGACCAUGGUCAUAAUAACGAGGGGUCGCUGUAGUUCUGUUAUUAGGAUCACUAUAGUGUAACGAAGACAUUCAACACGAUGCUGAACGCUGGUGAUAUUAUGUACGUAUUCGAAUUCAAGAGCCGAACUUUAAUAAUCCACGUAAUCAAUCCAUUAAAUAACAUCAUCCUUCCGACUCCUCACGAGAAGCACGCAAUAAAGAACGACUGCCGUGAGUGCCCCUCAUGACCAUCAAUAACAAAAACCGACAGCAUUUCAUUGACGAUAUGUCAGAGACUUCGCUGGGUUCUGGCGCAUCAAUAAGUCAAGCAUAUGUUAAUUCAUUUCUUCCUCUCAGUGGGAAGAAGAUGGUUGCGAUUUGAAUUCAUACCUGCUGCGUGGUCGUGGCACGAAGGUUGUUGGUUCGGAUAACGCUUUCUUCCGGUGGGUGUCUUUUUAAAUAUAUUUUUAUUAUUCGUGCGAAACGGCGCGCAGUGAUGACCUACUUCGCCGAAGCGUCUGUUCUUUUUGUUCUUUUAGUUUUCAGAGUAGGAAUUCCUCGUCGUAUGUUCACGCACAAGUAGCACGUUUGCGUCACUUACGAAAUGUUAAACACCAUUCUGCAAGGUUUUCUUCGGAGCUUGCAGUGACCUUACAGCUUACCUUACGAGCUUACAGUGAAGAAAAUAACCUAGAGUGCCACGCGUCUGGCCCAUUGGGCGCGAAAGGAACAGCAAUUUACGCUUUGGUCUUUGCAAACGAUUUGACGACAUGAUUGGACACCGUAUUGGACUGCUGUGUCGGGAAAGCGUAAAUUGCUUUUUUCCUUCGCCAGUCCCAAACGACGUAACGGAGCAUUCUCGUUCCUUUUUUGUAUCGCUGUCAACGUAUGUUUCAUUCCGCAAGGAGAAACUCUUGCACUGGAGUGCUCCUUUAAAAUCAAGCGAUGCUGCACGUAGGAUGAAAGGUGUUUCAGAGCGCAAUUCCGUCUUCAGCGGGCACAAUUGUAUUUAUACUUUUCACAACGGUAUUUAGUGAUCUUCAGAAUGUCUAGGGAAUUCGACUCAGAAAGGUGAAACUAUUUUUGCGAGUCGGAAAAUAAACAGUAAUUCCAGGUUCCCACUUGAGGGCGAUACCCAUGCGACAUUGCAAGGGGGCGUCUGAAGUAGACGCUCAUGCGCGGUACAGCGAGAAGAGACGCGGUCAACCAAAAACAAACAAACAACAAAAACAAAAGAAAAAUUAUAAAGAAGAAGAAAAAACAAGUGAAA